rnacentral:rRNA from 1 species
UACGUAGGGUGCGAGCGUUGUCCGGAAUUAUUGGGCGUAAAGAGCUCGUAGGCGGUCUGUCGCGUCGGAUGUGAAAGCCCGGGGCUUAACUCCGGGUCUGCAUUCGAUACGGGCAGACUAGAGUGUGGUAGGGGAGAUCGGAAUUCCUGGUGUAGCGGUGAAAUGCGCAGAUAUCAGGAGGAACACCGGUGGCGAAGGCGGAUCUCUGGGCAUGUCCUGACGCUGAGGAGCGAAAGUGUGGGGAGCGAACAGG